ACACACAAGAUGAUCUACAGGCUGUAUGCUGGGCUAUUCUUCUCGCUCUGUGUUGAUAUGACGGACAGGGAGUUGGCUUAUUUGGAGUGCAUCCACUUGUUUGUGUAGAUACUGGAUCACUUUUUUAGUAAUGUCUGCGAGUUAGAUUUGGUUUUUAACUUUCACAAGGUAUGGUUUGUCAGUCUUUCUCAUUGUGAAUCUCUGUAUUUUCUUUUAUUUCUACUGUAUUCACCUUGUGUAUGCUGCAUUGUAAUUUAUACUUCUGAUUGAUUGUUUUCCUAUGAAGGUAUAUCUAAUCUUAGAUGAAUUCGUUCUCGCUUGGGAGCUCCAAGAAACAAGUAAGAAGGCUAUCAUAGAGAGUUUGAAUGAAUUGGAGAAGUUGGAGUAAAGAUUGAUGAUCCAUGAUGGCCAACCUUCAUCCAUAUUCCAAACAUGACCUGAGGUUCGUGAAUCAGCAGGGUUGGCAUUCAGCACUCUCUACAUGACUGCUGGAAUGCAAGCAAUUGAUGAGAUUGUUCCUACACUUCUGCAUGCUCUGGAGGAAGAUCAAACCUCUGAUACUGCUCUGGAUGGUUUAAAACAGAU